rnacentral:rRNA from 1 species
UACGGGGGGGGCAAGCGUUGUUCGGAAUUACUGGGCGUAAAGGGUUCGUAGGUGGCCCGCUAAGUCACACGUGAAAUCCCUCAGCUUAACUGGGGAACUGCGUGUGAGACUGGCAGGCUUGAGUGCAGGAGAGGAACGCGGAAUUCCAGGUGUAGCGGUGAAAUGCGUAGAUAUCAGGAGGAACACCAAUUGCGAAGGCAGCUCGCUGGGACGUAACUGACGCUGAGGUGCGAAAGCGUGGGGAGCAAACAGG